rnacentral:rRNA from 1 species
CCCACGGGAGGCAGCAGUGGGGAAUAUUGGACAAUGGGGGGAACCCUGAUCCAGCCAUGCCGCGUGUGUGAAGAAGGCCCUCGGGUUGUAAAGCACUUUCAGUGAGGAAGAACGCCUGGUGGUUAAUACCCAUCAGGAAAGACAUCACUCACAGAAGAAGCACCGGCUAACUCCGUGCCAGCAGCCGCGGUAAUACGGAGGGUGCGAGCGUUAAUCGGAAUUACUGGGCGUAAAGCGCGCGUAGGUGGCUUGAUAAGCCGGUUGUGAAAGCCCCGGGCUCAACCUGGGAACGGCAUCCGGAACUGUCAAGCUAGAGUGCAGGAGAGGAAGGUAGAAUUCCCGGUGUAGCGGUGAAAUGCGUAGAGAUCGGGAGGAAUACCAGUGGCGAAGGCGGCCUUCUGGACUGACACUGACACUGAGGUGCGAAAGCGUGGGUAGCAAACAGGAUUAGAUACCCUUGUAGUC